rnacentral:rRNA from 1 species
GAUGAACGCUAGCGGCAGGCCUAACACAUGCAAGUCGGAGGGGUAACAGGGAAGAGCUUGCUCUUUCGCUGACGACCGGCGCACGGGUGCGUAACGCGUAUACAACCUACCUUUUGGGAGGGGAAUAGCCCAGGGAAACUUGGAUUAAUGCCCCAUAGUAUGGGAAUAUCUCCUGAUAUUUUCAUUAAACAUUUAUGGCCAUUAGAUGGGUAUGCGUCCUAUUAGUUAGUUGGUAAGGUAACGGCUUACCAAGGCAGCGAUAGGUAGGGGUCCUGAGAGGGAGAUCCCCCACACUGGUACUGAGACACGGACCAG